rnacentral:rRNA from 1 species
UACGGAGGGUGCAAGCGUUAUCCGGAUUCACUGGGUUUAAAGGGUGCGUAGGUGGGCAGGUAAGUCAGUGGUGAAAUCUCCGGGCUCAACCCGGAAACUGCCAUUGAUACUAUCAGUCUUGAAUAUCGUGGAGGUAAGCGGAAUAUGUCAUGUAGCGGUGAAAUGCUUAGAUAUGACAUAGAACACCAAUUGCGAAGGCAGCUUACUACCCGAAUAUUGACACUGAGGCACGAAAGCGUGGGGAUCAAACAGG